rnacentral:lncRNA from 1 species
GUUCAAAUCAACGAUCCACACCGUUAAAACUGAUCUAGGGUAUUUAAAGUUUUUAGAAAUAAAAUUUUAUAUUUUUUUGAUAUAGUUUACUUUAUGAUCAAAAUAUUUCAAAAUUGUCAAUUUUCAAUUGCUACUAUGGCGAAUUUGGAAUUUAAAAGAGUAGAAGAAUCUAAAUUUCUUCAAAUUUUGAUAGAAAAUACUUUAAACUAUCUAGAUUAAGGUUAACAUUUUUUAUCUUAAAUUUAAAAGUCCUAUGCUCAAAUUUUAAAGAUUAUUCAAUUUCCACCGUCCAUUUUGACAUAAUUUAUUUACUAAGUAAACGAUGUCGAAAAAAAUUAAAAUAUUAUUUCUAAGAACUUCAUAUACCCUAAAUCAUAUUUAACAGUGUGGAUCAUUAAUUUGAACACCGUAAGAUCGAAAACAAGACUAUAGUAUCGAAGCUCCGGUACUAUAGAUAGUAUAGUAACCUAUAUAUAUAUAUAGAGAGAGAGCAAGGCCGCUGUGCUCUCAGGAGCACGGAGGCCUCCGUGCUCCUGAGCUGUUUUCGAUGAUGAAAUUUUCGAUUCGACGAUCGGCUCCGUUAGAUCUAGCGCAUUUGAAGUUUGUAGAAAAUAAUUUUUGCGAUUUUUCGAUAUCAUUUACCUAGUGAUCGAAAGGAUUCAAAAUCUAUAAUUUUUAAUGGUUGAUAUCUGUCGUUUUCAAGUUUAACGGUGUAGAAGUAUUCAAAUUAGAUGAAAUUUUAAUACAAAAUUCUUUAUACUAUCUACAACAAGAUCAAUAUUUCUGAUCGAAAAUUUUAAUGCUAUAUCACUAUUUUUUAUAGAAUUUUUAUUUUCAGCCGUUAAAAAUUAUUGAUUUUGAAUCCUUUCGAUUGCUAGGUUAAUGAUAUCGAAAAAUCGCAAAAAUUAUUUUCUAGAAACUUCAAAUAAUCUAGAUCAAGGUCUAACGGAAGUCGAUGCUCGUCGUUCGGAAACUCCAUCAUCGAACGGUUAGGUUGAGGAGGCAUCCGUGCUCUUGAGAAACACAGCCAGCUUGACUCUUCUCUCUCGUCUCUCAUUUCCUUUUAUAUCUAUAUUUAUAAUCUAUAUAUAGAGAGAGAGAGACCUGAGAGACGUGUCUUCAAUCUAUUCGGAUCCUGCUCGGAGAAGAGGAGAGUGGUAGUGGUAUUAAUAUCUUUAUGCACGGAGGCCUGCCGUGUUUCAAGUUUGUUUUCGAAUGUGCGACAUCAAGGUCAACGAGCGGCUCGUUAGGAUUGAUUACACUUUAAAAGUAUUGAAAACUAAAUUUUAUAAUUUUUCGGCAUCAUUUGCCUAGUGAUCAGAAACGGUCUCAAAUGAUAACAAUUUUAAUAGGUAGAUGUGAUGCCGUAUUGUGAAUUUAACGGUGUAAAACAAUCAAAUUUUGAUGAAUUUUAUGUCGCAAAGAUUCUUUUCAUAUUUAGAGCAUAAGAUCAGUAUCCCCUGAUCUUAAUUCAAGUUUUUAUCCACUUUUUUUGGAUUUUUAUUUUCACCUCGUUGAUUUUUAGACCUUGCUCAGUUUGUAGGUUCAAGAUGACGUUAAAAAUUGAUUAAAUUUAGUUUCUACAAUUGCUGUUAAUAGUGUGUAGAUCAAUGUACUAAUGGUGAUCGCGCAUCGUCGAUUGGAAGCCGCUCAUUGAAACAAUUGGAGCACGGAGGCCUCGAUGCUCGAUUAGUAUACCAGCCUAACUAUAUAGUAUAUUAUAUAUAUAUAUAUAUAUAUAUAUAUAUAUAUAGAGUCCGGCAACUAUACUCUUAUGAGUAUAGAGCCUAUUGUACUCAUAAGUUUUUGGCCGUUAGAUCUAGCCUUUAAUCAUUUUCACCCGUUAGAUUAUACUAUUCAACCAACCACCCACUCAACCCUAGGGGGCCCACUAUCAACUUAACCGUAACCACUUUCAUUCUUACCGCACAUUUUUUUAUCUAAAUGGUCGAAAACUUAUGAGUACAAAGGGCUCUAUAUAUAUAGAGUUUGACUGGGCUACUAUCGGUAGUAAACUGCUCGGUUUACUACCGAUUUAUUUUUGAUGAUAGAGCUUCCAAAUCGACGAUCGGCACAGUUGAACAUGAUCUAGACCAUUUAAAUUAUCUAAAAAUCAAAUUUUAUGAUUUUUUGGCAUCACCAACUGAACGAUCAAAUGGUCACAAAAUCUAUAAUUUUAAUGGCCGAUAUGGUGCGUUUGCUUGUUUAACGGUAUAAAAGAGUUCAAAUCAACUUAAUUUUUGUUAAAAAAUUCUUUAAACUAUUUAAAAUAAGGUCUAGACUCUAGAUCUCAAAUAUAAAAAUUGCAUCAUCACUUUUUGAAGGAUAUUCAUUUCCAGCCAUUCAUUUUUCUGUUCACUUGAUGGACAAGAGAACAAUAUCGAAAAUGUGUGUAAUUUGAUUUUCAGAUAGUUUAAAUAGUUUAGAUCAUGUUUAACGGUGUCGAUCAUCAAUUUUGAAGCUCUAUCAUCGAAAACAAAUCGGUAGUAAACCGAACCGUUUACUACCGAUAGUAUUCUAGCAAAACUCUCUCUAUGAGUUUGAUUGGGCUACUAUCGGUAGUAAACUACUCAGUUUAUCGGUAGUAAACUACUCAGUUUACUACCGAUUUGUUUUUGAUGAUAAAGCUUCCAAAUCGACGAUUGGCACUGUUGAACAUGAUCUAGACCAUUUAAAUUAUCUAGAAAUCAAAUUUCGUUUAUUGGGUAAAUUUGCUAGCCAACAAAAUCAAACCAACAAAAACCUACUGUAAUUACUCUCUCUCGCUCUCUUUCACUUGCUCGCAUAAUCACUUUUCCUAAAUUAUUUUUCUUAGCGUUAUGAAAUUGUAUCAUGCAUUUUUUUGUAUGUUAAACUAUUAGGCAUAUUUCUUAUAUCAAAUUUUAAGUAAUGUUUCAUAAAAUUUAAACUAUAGAUUGUAAGAUGUUAAAAUUUUCAAGCGACUCGUUUAGAACUCGAGCUCGCUCGACUCAAAAUUAGGCUUGCUCGAGCUUAAGUCGAAUUAAUUUUAAGUUGAGCCUGAACCUAAAUGUAGGUUCAAAAUUAUGUCCAAUCCAAGCUUGAGCUGAGAUAAGUUCACUCAAGUUCGGCUCAUUUCCACCUCCCAGUAGAGAUAAGCUUGCAGGGUUUUAAAUAAUUGAAAAAGUUAAUAGUGCUUCUAGAAAUUUUUGUCCAGCAAUAGUUUUGUAGAGGCUUCAAUUAAAUGAAUCAAACAAAGAUCUUUUUUUGGCUAUGUUACAAACUGUAUAGUACCUUUAAUUAAGUGUUGUCUUACUAGUGUUAUAUACAUUAGAAGAAAUAUGCUAUGCUAUGCUACUUUUUCUAAUACACUUCUCUUUUCAACAGAAGCAAAAGCUCAUUUACUAUUUAAUUAUUAAUUUGUUUGCGUAUCGCAAUAUGCAAUUGCUCUUGUACGGGCCAUUUGCCCUCGCGGCACUUAACCGUAUACAAUUUCUGUGUUACCGACCGUCCCUAGAGCAAGUGGCAAAGGGCUUGGUGGUUGGUACCUGAGAUCCAAAUUCGAAUCCUAGUUGAUUCACAUUUUCAGCUAAGUUUAUUUCUAAAUGAAAUAAAUGAAGCGGAUAGCGUGCUACCUAUCUCUCAAAAAAAAAAAAAGAAGAAGAAAUCUGUGUUAACAUACGACGAAAUUUGAAAUUGGAGCUUCUGCAUCAAAGUAUGCAUAUAGCAAACAAGCACAAGUUUCUAUUCCUAGGUUAAGAAUCACAUUUUAGUUUUUGUACCGAGUUCUAAAUUUUUUUCGUUUGCUAAUGCUUAAUAAGAGGUACGAGUCUAUAACUGAAACCAGGAGCAAAAAUAGGUAUGCAAUUUCUCCUGUUGUGGGGUAUCACAACGCUUAAUUAUCAUAAUCUGAUUAGAAUUAUUAGUCCCAUACUUGGAUAAAGUCCUAAUAUAUUGGUUUAUAUCGUUCUUAAUUAAUUUAAUCUUUAUACAACUAAAUCUCCUCUCUGAGAUACGCAUUAAAAUAAUAUAUUCCCUUCCUCUCUCAGCUGUUGAUGUUACAUGCCUUUGCAAUUUUGCGCAAGGGUUUGUAGCAUGGCCUUGCACCUAUUCUCGAUCCCUCCAAGGCACGGGACUUGACGCCGGAGCAACACUUAGGCUUAGUUUAGUUCGAUAAUGAAUAAGAACUGCUUAUUUCAGAGAGAGAUAAAGUUCAGAUAUAAGCAUGAAAUAUAAGUGAUAAAGUUCAGAUAUAAGCAUAAAUAUAAGUUUUUGUUUGGAUGAAAAUUAUGCUAUUUCUGAGAAUAAAAUAAAUAGUGUUUGUAUGUUAGAUUGGAAUGGCAAAAAUAAAAAAAAAAUUAUAAUUUUCAAUUAAUAAUAUUUUUUUAUCUAAUUAAUUAAUAUUAAAAUAUUAGUUAAAACUAAUUUAGUAAAUUAAAAAUUUUAUUAGCCAUGAAUAUUGUAUAAAAUUAUGAAAAAAAGAUAUUCAUAGAAACAUCCUGUCUCUUCAGAUUCCUCUCCCUCUAAAAGUGACAUAACAUAGGAAAGGUACGUGAACUAACUCAUUGUCGGAAUACUAAAUCUGAGAUUGAGAAAUAUAAAUGAGAGAAAUAAUAUUUUUAAGUGGGAAAUUGAAGCUUCCGAAUUUGUCACUGAUCAUCUAAUUGUUAGACAAUAUUACUAUCUUUAGAAGAGAUAUAUCGCGCGGUUUGGAUUGAUUUAUUUGGUUUUGGUAAAAAUACUUCUAUUUAGUUUAAAUCGUCUUGAAUUAAUUACUAAAAAUAAGAUAUAAUCAUGAUUAAUUUAAUGUUAAAAAGCAUUAACCUAAGAUAAUAAUAUAAUAUAAUUAAUAUCUCUCAUUAUUUCAUUAUUAUUUAAAAUUAACUAAUACAUAAUAUUUUCCUUCUACUUCUAAGUUCUAACCUUGGUUGCUAAUUAAGAUAGGAACAAGGGACUGUCAUACACACAAUAAGAAUUAGGUAUUAAAAUCAUUAAAUGAAGAUAUAAAUAAUGGCCUAGUGUCUUAUACUGCAAAUUAAUACAUUAAACUUUUCAUUUGUGUGCUAUUCAAAAAAUUAAAUAUCUUAUUUAAUAUAUAUAUAAAAAAAUAUAAAAGCGAAUGAAUUUGGGAAUCUAGUUUACUUAACUUUACUUUAAUAAAAAAAUUGAGCCAAUGAAUAUUCUCUCCAAAAAAAAAAAAAGGUCGAGCCAAAAUAUACGUACCAAAUUUGGUAUAAAUAUAAUACAAAUGCAUAUAUAGAGAAGAAGCCAUGAGCAUGGUGUCUUGAGAGGUAAUACAAACAAGAACAAUUAGAUAACGACGUUGGAGACAACAAUAGAGACAUGCCAACCUGUGGAAAACCCUAAUUUCAUUUACCCAAAAAUGACCGUGGUCGAUCACUAUGUCAAAGUCAUAUAUGAACAAUAAUGGAGGAACCGUCGUAAUAAUAUAUGCUGUGGAAUUAAUAUUAUACAUUAUUUAGGCGCAUUAUGCAAAUUCUGCAGCGACAUCAAAAUAUUUGGGACGUUAAUUGAUGGAAUGUGCUAAAGUUGAAAAUUUUACCCACUAAUUGCUAUCGCCUUAAUUUUAUUGGUGACAAAUUAUGAUGAUGGGACCAUGAUAACUACAAAGCUACAUACCUGAUGUUGCCCAAGUUCUCCAAUGAAAACCAAGUAAGUUAAUGCAUUUAUAUACACUAAUUUGCCCCUAAAUAGACAGUUUUGAAGAGGCCCCUUAACCAUCUUUUAUUUUUUAUUGACACAUUUUAACUUAAUUACUAAUACUUUUUUGUAGUUGAGUUAUUUUAAUUAGUUAAAUUAUUUUUUAAAACCUAUUGGCUCUAUUAGCUGUUAGUUGCAGCUGUUAAUCAUCCUAUAUUUCUCUAUAUAUGGGAUUAAAUUUAAUGGAAUCAUCAAUAAACUCUAGUUUAAUUGAUUAUAGGAAAGAAAUUAAGUUUUGGGGCCCUUCAAUACAUCAUGACAUACAGACGAGGGGUUCCUUAUAUAUCAUAGAGUCAGUUUUUAAAAUUUUUAAAAUUCCAUUGUUCCUCGCCGAAUUAUUUUUGUUGAUGUAUAAUUAAGCACUACUUUAUUUAAUAGAGCAUUAAGCUAAAGAAUUUAGCAUUUUAUAACCUAACUGUAAUGAGGAUAAAUUUCACGACUAUUCCGAAGUUGCUAGAAACGAAAGUUUACAGUUUGAUGCUGAGAAAAUCACAAGCAAUCUUAGUUUUAUACAGUUCGUACACCUGAAUAAUUGCAACUAGACCCAACAUAUCCAUCCAAGGGUCAUUCUCUUUCACAUUAGUUUUAUCAUUUUUUUUAAAAAAAAAUACUGAAAUCCAAGAAGGGUUGUUCACAAACCCUAGCGGUGAGUGUUUCAAUCGGAGGAUGGAGAAUUAUAAUCUUAUUACAAAUUUUUAUGGGGUAUAGAUUUAGCAUUUCCCGUUGUAACGGAGUUGAAUGUAGUGGAGGAGAUCAAUAUGUCACAAAUAUAUAUGAGGUUAAUUUCUUGUGAAAUUUAAAAAGAAAAAAAAUGUAGCUAGGUUUCUAUAUUCUACCUUAUCUAAUUAGUAUGAAAUUUCCCCCCUAUUUGUGUAGUUUAGUUUGUUCCAAUUAAUUAGUUUCAAUCUAAUAUACGUUUAACUGUAUUUAUAAUGUUUUCAAACAAAAAGAUUUUCAAGUUACUCAAAAAGACACAUAUAAUAUAUGUUGGUCAAAAAGACAUAUAUAAUUAAUUUAGAAAACUAAGUGUACUGGAUCAUGAUGCUGCAUAAGAAACAAAUCUAGCCAUUGAAAGAAUCUAUUAAUUUGUGGGCAUUGCAUUUGAUACUCUUCCUCUACGCCAAAUGUUUAGGUGGUGUAUUGUGAAACAUUUUCCUGUGGAAAAAAUAUAUAUAUUCAUGAAAAUGCUUUUUCGAUUAAAAAGUCAAAUUCCUUUUCGUAGCGUGAGUCAAUGAAAUACCACAACUAAUUAAUUCACCUUGUAAAUCACUAUGGACCCUCUAUUUUAUGCAUCUUAUCCAAUUUUUGAAUAUUUUUUAACAGGUGUGUUACAAGCACUUAUUAGGAGAACAUACCCUUCUAUAGUAAAGACCUUGGAGAUAGAUGAUUAAUUAUAAACACAUCAAUUCAAUGGAAAACAAGAAAACUUUUAUACUUGCAAAAUGCUCCUGCUGAAGAUAACCAUGGUUAAAUAUUAAAGAUGCCCAAUAAUGGAGGAAGUGUCAUGAUCAUAAAAAUUGAAUGAGCUAACACUCGAACCUUCUUAGGUGAAUUAUGUAAUGGCGAUCGAGGGACAUGAAGAAUAGUUAGGUACAAUAAUUGUUAUGCAAGGUAUAGCUUGCAUGUUGAUUAAUUGCAUCAAAUUUUCAAAUGUAAUCAAUUAAAGGGAGAUAUAAUUAAUUAAGAUUUCUGUGCGGCGCCUACAGGACUAAUUAAAAAAAUAAAGAAAAAAAAUCACAGAACAUAAUUGUUUCAUAGAUUCAUAAGUUGAGGGGAGUAAUGGCGAUGGGGAAACUUUAGACACUAGAGGCAACCACACUGUCGUAUGCAAAUUUAACCCUACAAAUUGAAUUUUUUUUGUUUGCUAGUAUGCAAGGCAUUUAUUAAUAUUUUGUCUAGUAGUUUGAAGGCUUAUUCUGUGGAGAAACACCUAGUAAUUACGAAAUCCGAGGACCAUUUCAAAAUAGUUAUUUGAGGUCAUUCGAGAGUUAUACUUCGUUGGAAACUGCAUGUCAAUUUUGGUCUUAUCUCACUUAAUUAACAUCGCUCUAGAGUCGUCCAAACUACAUGUCAUCUUACGUAACAUCUCUCUCUCUCUCUCUCUCUCUCUCUCUGUGUGGGGGUUCAGUUGCCUUUCUAUAUGUUCAGCAAAGAGAACCAAAUUAAGAAAAGAGAACUAGCAAUCUACGUAAACAAAUACUAGAUUUUUGUUUGGUUAGUUGUGAGAAGAAAGGUGCUCACUGUGAACAAUCUGCUGAAACGUGGGUGGUGUGGCGAGGAGACUUGUGUUUUCUGUUUGAACGUGGGUGAGACCAUUGAUCACCUCUUCAUGGGUUGUGAUGACACCAAAGCGCUGCUGGAGGUUUUUCUUCCAAAUAAAUCAGGCCUGCGUAAUUGUAUUUCUGCUAGUCUGCUCUGGAAGCUAAGUAGAAGAAAAGAGGGAGCGAUUGGAGGAAAAGAGUCAACAAUCGCCACAACAUGGUGGGUCGUUUGGUUGGAGCGCAAUAGACGAAUCUUCCAGGAAACCAAACGAACGACGAGUUUAUUAGCGUCUGAGAUCCGCUCGCUUAGAAACAUCUAGGAUCUUUUUUGUUAUAUAUAUAUAUAUAUAUAUAUAUAUAUAUAUAUAUAUAUAUAUAUAUAUAUAUAUAUAUAUAUAUAUAUAUAUAUAUAUAUGAUUCUUGCCAAUACCUUCACAGGCCAUAAAGAAGGAAAGGAAUAUUCCCUAUCGGAUCAUCAGAUGCUUAAAAUAUGCUUGUGUGACGAGUUGAGGUGACAUUUUGGAUAUAUUUUUAAUCAAAUUGGGCAACAUUUUGUAUCAUGCUAUGGGCAAAAGAAGAGCACAUCGAAUUUGAAAUCUCAAUAUGUUUGACGCCGUCGUGAAUGCCAGGUAUAUAUGUCUUUUUUUUUUUUUUUCCCCAUUUUUUUUUGCUACGCUUUUAAGGAAAUACCCAUGCGGCUAAUUAAUUAGUGGAAAUUAUUAUAAGGUCUCUCCGUUAAUUAAUAAAUGGAGGACCUUUUUCUCGUAUUAAAAAAUGGAAAGAUUGGUCUCUUACGACUCACAUCAAAUGUCACCCAUUGGAACAAGAAAUCGACCCGAGUGUUUGAUUCUUUUCUUUUCCAUGCUUUAUCAUUGAAAACCCACUAAUUCGGGGGCUAAUUACAACAUUGUUUGUAGGUCCCUAAACAGUUAUUAGUUGUUUCUGCAGUGUUUUCAUAUGAUUUACUAUUCUUAAAACUCUGAAAAUUCAUUUUAACUUUUGCUACUACCAAAACUUUACUUUUGAUUCACAAGUGUUUUAUUUUUAAUGGGUGCAUUAGGGAUGUCAAUGGGUAUGGAACUAUAGAUAUCCGAAAUUUUAUCUGAACCCGAACCCGAACCCAAAUGAAACGGAUAUAUCCGAUGCUAAAUGGAUAUGGAUUCGGAUAUGGAUAUCAAAAAUAGAAACCCGACGGAUAUGAAUUCGAAUAUAGAUUUUGACUGCACCCGACCCGAACUCGAACCCGAUCCGAACCCGAAUUUAUUUUGUAUUAUAUAAUAUAUAUACCCGACCCGAACCCGAACCCGACCCGAACCCGAAUUUAUUUUGUAUUAUAUAUAUAUAUGAUGUUAUAUUUGAAUUUGUAUUUUAAAAAUUUAGAUUUAAUAUAAUGUAUUUUGAAAUACUAAAAAGAAAAAUAAUUGUUUCGGGUUCUAAUUUUCGGGUUCGGGUUCGGGUUCGGGUUUCGGAUUUUUGGUCGGAUUCGGGUUUGGAUAUGAAUUUUUAAAAUCNAUGUUUUAAUAUCUUCUUCAAAGUUUUGUCAUUAUUUUAAUGUGGUUGAAAUAAGAUCGAAUUUUUUGCAACUUUGGAUUCGUUUGAAGCAAAAUCUCUCAAAAUUAAGGAAUUAAUUAUAUAUGGUUGCAAUACAUUUGAGUUUUAUUAGUACAAUGGAGGUCGAGGGCUUACCAUGUAAUCUCAUAGGGCUAUGAUGAAAUAUAUCAAUAAACUCUUUUUUCUACAAUUCUUUUGAGAAUUAUCACAACCUCUUAAUUAGCCAUUUUCAUUGAUUUUUGCUUAGUCAUUUACCUUCCAUAAAUUUUCAAAAGAGUUUAAAAAAUGACCAAAAUGAAAAUCACAACAUGGCACAAGCAAUAGCCAGCCACUAACUACACUACAUCGAUCGUACCUUAAGGGACCUUAAGAUAUUUUAAUAUACUUUAUUCUUUAAAUCCAUGAAAUGUGAAAAGUUCUGAAAAAUCUGCAAAAGUUUAAACAAAAAUAAAACAUCCAAAAAAAUCUGUAGAAAGUUUGUACAAAUUCUAAACCUAGUUUUAAACCUUUUGGUGUGUCCAUAAUAAAGUUCCUUAGAAAGUUCAUAAAAAUGCCUCCUCUAUUUAAUUGAACGCACAUUGCCCACGAGGCGUAAGUAGACAGUUCGUAAUCUAGCUGCUUUGCAUCAUCAGAAGUGCUAACAUAGAACUAGAUAGUGGAGUAGUGGGUUUAUAUUAAUUGUGGAGUUCAUGAUAACUAGUUUUUAGGAGCACAUGUGUAGUCGAUGCAGUAGAGAACAUAUAUUGAUCGAGUUGGAUUUUCUAGAUACUCAAAUUUUAUUCUUCUAUGGGAAUUCUUGUUUAUAAGCUUGUAAUUUACCAAGGUUGUGGGUUAUCUUGACCCUUAAGUUUUAUUCUUCUAUUUAGAUGAUUAGAGGAGGGAGAGGAAAGAAGAAAUAUUGGCUCAAUUUCAUUAACGAAUUGAAUUAAACAGAUUAUAAUUAGAGGUCCAAAUUAUAAUUAAGGCUCGGACUCCUACUCCGAUUAUGAUAGAACAUAAUAAGUGCUACCCAUAUCAGUAGUGAUACUCCUCUAAAUAUGUACUUUCUUUUUAUGGAAAGUAAAUCCAACUACAUCGUAUCUGAAAAGAGCAAAUGGAGUAUAUCGAAAAUCAACAAUUAAACAAGCUCCUAGUUUCUUUGAAAUGAAAUGAUAUUUAUGAUUGAAGUUUUUUAUAAAUAGAAUUUCUAAGUUUGACCGCAAAUUCAUAGGUCUAAACAACCUUCUUCGAUUGCCUCGAAAUUGUUUAUCAUGAUCUAAGGUUUUAUAAAUAGGAAUUCUAAGUUUGGCAGCAAAUUCAGAGGUCUAAACAAUCUUUGAUUGCCUCGAAAUUGGUAACGAACUUAGUCAGUCUUUAAUUUCGCACUAUGUUCGACCGUUGCGCGCCGUAGCUUAUACUCCUUGACCUGCGCACAUCGAUACAAAAGUCCCCUUGAUCAAAAACCAUGGGAACAAGAUAUAGUCUUUGAACGUUGAUGGCCUUUCCUGCGUAAGUUCUCGUCAAGUUGAUUGAGCCUGAUCACUUAGCCUCGAUGUCUCUGUCGAAACCAGACCUAACCAAUUACACCCUCAAUUUGGGAAGCUAUUCCCUCAUCAAUCCUUCUUGUGUUCAUGAAAUGGAGAAAAACCGAUGAAGCGUUUUGAGGGUAGUAAUGAGAGUAGAUCGACAUCGGCUUGAUGAGGACAUUGGCAAUGGCGGUGUGGACAAUGAGGAGGAUUGAUCGCAAUCGGCGAGUACGACGAGCAGCGAUGUGAUUGGGAAUCAAACUCUGAUAAUAAUUGUUAGGGUUGGUUGAUUCCUAAUGCUCUUGCAGCUAAUUGGGCCUUUACGAGGUGGUAUUCCUACUUCUAGUUUAUGAGUAAUCAAAUUAACUAUGCUACUCUUAAUUGCUGGCUUAGAUGGGUCGGCAUCAAACAGUUCUACAAGUGGUAUCAGUGCAGGUCAUGGGUUCAAUUGCCGUACGCUACAAAUUUAUGCUCGUGUUUCGGAGGAGGGGAGAUUACUGGCUUAAAUGGGCCAACAUCAAGUAAUUGUGGGAGAUUGGGCCAAAUUACAUUUAAAACGGCAGAAGGCCGAGUAGAGCUGACUCACGUUUCAAGUGUCUAAAGACCGUGUUAGUCAGAGUUACAAUCAAAGCCAGGUGCUAUAUGCAUUUACACUUUAAGUGAAUUAGUUGCGUUGAUCUUUAGUUGCAUUAUUUUUUCUAAUAGCGCGAACUUGUAGAAUUAAUGAUUAGGUCCAACAAUCCUAUAUUAAUUAAUUUAGAAGCACGAUUACAUGCAAUCAUCCUAUUUUAAUGGCCCAAAUAUCAUAGAGUUCUGGUAUUAUAAGGAAUCUUAAUAAAGAACUUUGUGUAAUAAGAGUUAUGGUAGUAAUUAAGAUACUGUUAAGACUAAUACUACAAUUUGUACCAGACACGUUGGCCAAUCCGUAUCGUGAUAUAUUUCUAAUAAAAAUAUUGACCAAGUAUCACUAUAAGAAAAUUAAUAUUUAAGGAUUUUUUUUAUAUUUAACGAUACUUAAAAGCGUCCUAAUAUAGUGUAGUGUCAUAUUUGAAAGAGUCGAUUAAAACAUCGGUAAAUGAAGAGUCGCCACGUAUAUCGUCAAGCAUCAGUAAAAUAUAUUCUAAUGCUUUAAAGUAUCAGAAGUUUUUAAAAUCCUAAUGCUUUGAAGCAUCAAAAAAUUAAAAAUAAUAAUAAAAUUUAUUAUUUAAUAAAUUAAUUUAAUAUAAUAAAAAAUUCAUAUAGUGAUACUUUUUGAAAUGUCGGUAUUUACUAUAUUAUAGAGACGCUUGGAAAUAAAUAUAUGUCAUCCAAAAUAUCUAUCUAGUUCUAGGUGCGGUACAAGAUAGGAAUUAACCAUUAGAUAAAUAUAGGUACCCAUCAAAUAUAGAUUGAAAAUUUAAUCCGCUAAAAAUAUAGUAAUCGAACUCAUGAGGCUUAGAAUUAGUUCUUAUCAUGUUACACGAAAGAUAGAAUUUAUUUAUGAGAAUAUUCAUAUGACAAAAACUUAAUACUUUUUUAUUUUACAAUUAUAGUACAUAGUGUGAAAAAUUACUACAACAAAAACGGUCUAUAGCAACAUUUUUAAAUGUCGGUACAGGUCAAAAAAAAGACUGCCGCCUAAAUUACCGACAUUUUUAAAAACUGUUGCUAUAUGUGGGAUCGCUAGGUAUAUAAUAACAGUUAAAGAGUGUCGCUAUAACCUAACAAAGUGCUGCUAAUUUACAAAUAUUUAUUUAAGCAUUUAGCAGCCGCCGGAACUCUACCUCGUUGGCCGCGGUGGCGAAGGAGGACGAGAGGAAGAGAUCUUCGUUUAGGAUUUCAGUCGAUUGAGUGAGGGGAGAAGGAGAAAUGAUAAUCGAUUUUUCUUCUCUUUUUCUUUUCUGUUUGUAAUCGGGCUGAAUGGGCUGGGUGGGGUGGGUUGAAUAGAAUAACCUUUUAUUUUUUGUUGAAUUGAACUUUAUAUUUAGACAUUAGUAGAUUUUUUUUUAAGUUUUGACAUAAAUUAAAAACUUACACAAAAAUGUUCCAAACAUGUGUCCCUAUAAUCUAAUUCUGUUGUACUGAAUUGAAAUACAAUCUCCCACAAAAUAGCAGAUGGUAGCAACUGCCAUGCUCCUCGAUCGGAGAAAGAACUUAACUAAGAUUUUCUUUGCCUGUACGUUAUUAAUUUCUACUUUACAAAUAUACAUAGCAACUAUAUAUAUAAAGAGAGAGAGGGUUGAGCUGGAAUAUUACUAUCGGUAGUAAACGUGCUCCAUUACCACCUAUUUGUUUUCAAUAAUGGAGCUUCCAAAUCGACGAUUGGUACCGUUGAAAAAUGAUCUAUACUACUUAAAGUAUCUAGAAAUCAAAUUUCAUACUUUUUCAAUAUUAUAUUCUUGUCCAUCAAGUAGGCGUAAAAAUGAACGACUGAAAAUGGCUAUCCUCUAAAAAGUGAUGAUAGGAAUUUUCUAAUCAAGAUCGAGAGUAUAGAUCUUGGUCUAAAUAGUUUAAAUAAUUUUCUUAUCAAAACUCAAUUGAUUUGGAUAGCUUUACACCGUUAAACGAAAAAACGUCUCAUAUCGACCAUUAAAAUUACAAAUUUUGUAAUCCUUUGAUCAUUUGGUCAAUGAUAUCAAAAAGAUUUGAAAUUUGGUUUCCAGAUACUUCAAGCGAUAUAGAUCAUGUUCAAUGGUGUCGAUCAACGAUUUGAAGGUUCUAUCAUCGAAAACAAAUGGGUGGCAACGGAGCCCGUUUACUACCGUUAGCAUUCCAGCUCAACUAUAUAUAUAUAGUGUAGAGCUACUAUGCUAUCAGAAGUAUAGAGGGUUUUAUGCUUCCGACUUUUUGACCCUUGGAUUAAGAAUUGUACGAUUGGGAAGAUUGCGGUCCCCCGUAGGGUUGAGUAGUACCCCUAGGAUUGAGUGAUCCCCACAGUAAUAGAAGUAAUCCAAAGGCUAGAAAUAAUCAAAGAGAUUAAUCUAAGGGCCAAAAAGUCAGAAGCACCGGAUCCUCUGUACUUCCGAUAGCAUAUUAGCUCUACUCUCUCUCUCUCUCUCUCUCCAUAUAUAUAUAUAGAGCUAGGCUGGUAUACUAUCGGUAGCAUGGAGCCCUCCGUGCUACCAAGUUGUACUCAUAAGUUUUUGGCCGUUUGAUCUACCCUUUAAUCAUUUCACCCGUUAUAUUAUACUAUUCAACCAACCACCUACUCAACCCUAGGGGGCCCACUAUCAACCUAACCGUAACCACUUUCAUCCUAUCCGCACAUUUUUUCAUCUGAACGGCCGAAAAGUUAUAAGUACAAAGGGCUCUAUACUCAUAUGAGUAUAAUAGCCCCAGCCUAUAUAUAUAUAUAUAUAGAGAGAGAGAGAGAGAGAGAGAGAGUAGGUCUUGUGUGCUUUUGGGAAUACGGAGGCAUCCGUGCUUCUAUGCCAUUUUCGACGAUGGAGCUUUUGAAGCCAUGAUCUGCUCUAUUAGACUUGAUUUAGUGGAUUUGAAGUACCUAGUGAUCGAAAUGGUUUAAAGUCAACGGCUGAAAAUAAAAAUCUCAUAAAAAAUGACGAUAUAAUACUAAAAUUUUCGAUCAAAGAUAUUGAUCUUGCAGUAAUAGUAUAAAAAAUUUUCUAUAAAAAUUUCGACUGAUUUGAAGUUAAACGUGCAAACGAUAUACGUCAACCAUUAAAAAUUGUUGAUUUUUAAUCCUUUCGAUCACUAGGUAAAUGAUAUCAAAAAUCGUAAAAUUUAUUUUCUAAAUACUUCAAAUAUAUUAGAUCAAGUCUAAUGGAGCAGAUCGUCGAUUCGGAAGCUCUAUUAUCAAAAACAGCUUAGGAGCACAGAGGCCUCCGUACUUCUAACAGCACACAAGACCUACUCUAUAUAUAUAAUUGAGCUCCUAUACUCUUAUGGUAUUAAGUUAUUGGUGUUUGUAAGUUUUCGGUCCAUGGAUUAAGAGAUGUACAGUUAGAAUAAUAGUGGUCAUCAAGGGUUGAGUGUUGGUUGGUUGAGUAAUAUGAUCAAAUAGAUAGAAAUGAUCAAAAGAAUAGCUCUAACGGUAAAAAUUACAAGUANUAUGAUCAAAUAGAUAGAAAUGAUCAAAAGAAUAGCUCUAACGGUAAAAAUUACAAGUACUAAGUGCUUGGUGCUUUUAAAAGCAUCAUAGCCAAUAUAUAUAUAUUUAUAUAUAUAUAUAUAUAUAUAGAGAGAGAGAGAGAGAGAGAGAGAGAGAGAGAGAGAGAGAGUUAAGCUGAAAUGCUAUCAUUAGCAAACAGACUCCGUGGCCACCCUUUUUUUCAAUGAUGAAGCCUGUAAAUCGAUGAUCGACAGUAACUCGCAAAUACCAGGCAAUAUGAGACUCAUCUCACUGACCUUAAUCGAUCUUGUAAGAGAGCCGCGCUUUACCCACAACAGUCAUCAACAUAAGAGUCUCACUCUUUCUGCUGUAUUACGGGACUCAGCCGAGACUCAUCAUACACUUACGACCGGUAAUUAGCUCUGAUAUCAAUUAUGACGCUCCACUUCCUAUGGAUCAUCUAUCUUAAAACUAUUCUAGUCCUAACACACUUAACAAUUUUAAUCUUUUGGGCCUAACUGUCGCCCAAAAUUAUAUAGCCGAGUUAAUAAUUUUUAACCUUAUUAUAUCUUAUAUAUAGGAUUACUUGUUCUCACAUUAAAAAUAUUGAAUUUAAACAUUUACCAACAUUAACUUUUUUAAACAGUAAGAUAAAAUAACACCUUUAUCUUUUAUUAACCAAUGAUUAAUUCUUUUUAUUUUUUAAAAAAUAAAGUACCGAAUUUUUUCUCAAUAUCAAAUCCAUAAAAAUACUCGUCCAUGGGCCUACCUCAUGAAUUAUUUGUGUACUUGACACGCGCGAUAAUGACCCACAAUUAAUGAGUCACCAUCACCUCUCAAAUUGAAGUUGGCCCCAUUACAGAUCUAGGAAAGAAGAACCUUACUUCUCUCCACCCAACUCCCAAAAAUACUUAAAACUUUAUAAAAAUUAGGAUUCGGAUGUUAUAAUUGCUUUUUGUUGCCUUCUUCGAAAUAGCUUGCCCUUGUCGACGUGCCGUAUCCACGAAAAAUCUGUAUGAUUUAUCACCGCAUGUUUUUCAGGUGCGUCGGGCGGGAUGGAGCUUGAUGCAAAGUGAGGAAUCCACAAAAGAAAUAAAUAAGAGAUAAAAUCUCAAAAUAUAAGCUGGUUUAUUAAUUCAUGCAACUUCAAUUUUAGUACCCUUUUUUUUUUGGCAUGCAUGUGCUCUGCUCUAAAACUCUCCAAAAUAGCACAAGGCUCAAGUCACGCAAAAGUCCUAAGAUAUGCGCACAACCCACUGCGAACAGAAAUAACAGCUUAACGAGUUGAACAUAUAAAAUUCUAAAAAGAUUCUAAAGAAAAGUGAAGGAUAAUACAACAUAUGCAUCUUGCAGUUGCAUUGAGUUUUGCACAGCAUUAUACAAACUCUGAACUUUGCAACGCCUUGUACAAACUCCGAACUGUGUUGCACAAGUAAAAUUUUUAGGCGUACACAGAUACUGCACAGAGUUGCACAAUUGUUCCACAAAGUUGCAUUAGUUUAUCGCUGUAUUUGUACAAGUACUCUAAACUAGGGGUAUCAACGAGUCAAACACAUGCUGACUCGUAAAAAUAUUGAGUCAAAAAAUUUAGCUCGUAUUAGGCUCAUUUAUUAAUGAGCCAAAGCCGAGAUUGCUUACAAAAGUUAAAAAAAUUAAAAAGAAUAUAUAUAUAGAAAAUAAAAUUUUUAGAUCUUACCUAUUAAAUUUUGACGUAAUUCUUAAAAUUUUAUAUAUAAAUGAGCUUUUUCAUAAUUGAGUUGUGAUUUAGGUUAGACUAAAAAUCAAAUAAUAAAAAUUUAUAUUAUCUAUAUAUAAUUAUGUAUUAUUUAUAUAUAUAAAUAUAAAAUAUAUGUAUUUGAGCUAUUAACGGGCCGAACGCAAGCGAGCUGAUCCAGCUCAUAUUCGGCCCAUUUAUUAAACGAGCUGAAAAAUUCAACUUAUAUUCGGCUCGUUUACUAAACAAGCUAUUCGAUAUCAAGCUCAUUUCGAGCGAACACAAACUGGCUCGCAAACAACGAGCUGAAUUUCCACCCCUAACCCAAUCUGCUAUGGCGUCACCCCCUCCGAAGCAGCACAAACUUCUCAAGGAAGGAAGGUAUAAUAAACCGUUCCUCACUUCUUUAAUAUUAGUACAUUAUAUUACACUAUCUAUUACCAUAAAACUUCAAGCUACCCCACAACAUCAUAAUGGAUUUGAAAGUAAAUUUCAAACUAGGAAGAUUAUUCUUAUUUUUAAAUUGUGCGUAAUUAAAUCUCACAUCCAACCAAUCCAAAAGUUUAGCGAACUCUUUUAAAUUUUUAAUAUUAAUAAAACUAAAAAGUGAUGAGACUCAAGUGCAUGAAAAAAGAGCUUUUGGAUGAAGAAUAUAUAAAAUUUAUACCCACUUUUAGGUGUAACCAUUGCUCUUUCAUUUUUGUCCGCAUACCGAAUAAAAUACAAUUCAAGCAAAAUAACUAAUCAUACUAUCUAAAAAAUAUAUACAUGUCAAAAUAAUAACUACUAUUAUUAAAAAUUAAUGAUAAUAAUAAUUAUAUUAUAUAUAUAUAGAGAGAGAGAGAAUAGGGCUACUGUGCUCUUAGUAGUACGGAGGCCUCCAUAGUCCUAAACCAUUUUUCAUCAUAAAAUUUUCGGAUUGACUAUCGACUCCGUUAGACUUGAUCCAAUGUGUUUGAAGUACAUCGAAAAUAAAUUUUAUCAUUUUUUUGAUAUCAUAAACCUAGUGAUCAAAAAAUGUUCAAAAUUAAUGACUGAAAAUAAAAUCUCAAAGAAAUUAAUGAUAUAACAUUAAAAUUUUCGAUCAGAGAUAUUCAUCUUGUUGAAAAUCGUAUAAAAAUUUUAUAUCAAAAUCUCAUCUGAUUUGAAUACUUCUACAUCGUUAAACUUGAAAACGACAUACAUCAACCAUUAAAUAUUAUUAAUUUUGAACCCUUUCGAUCUCUAGGUAUGUAAAUAAUAUCGAAAAAUCAUAAAUUUUAUUUUAUAGAUUUUUCAAAUACAUUAGAUUAAGUCUAAAUAAGUUGAUCGUCGACUCGAAAGUUUUAUCAUCGAAAAUGAUUUAGGAGUACAGCACUCUUACUCUCUCUCUCUCUAUAUAUAUAGAAUUAUGCUACUAUAUAUACUAUCGAUCAUAUCAAGGCUUGAUAGUAUUGAGUUUUUGGCCGUUGGAUGAAAGAAUGUGCGGUUAGGAUAAUAGUGGUCUAUAUAUAGAAUUAUGCUACUAUACUAUCGUACCAUACGUUUAGUACUAUCGAGUUUUCAACCGUUGGAUAAAAAGAUAUACGAUUAUAAUGAUAAUAGUCCCCUAGAGUUGAGUGGGUGGUUGGUUGAAUAGUAUAGUCUAACGUAUAAAAAUGAUUAAAGAAUAAAUUGAACAGCAGAGAAUUUGAUAGUAUCAAAAGUUUAAUAUUAUCGAUAGUAUAGUAACACAAUUUUCCCUCCCCUCUCUCUCUCUCUCUCUCUCUCUCAUCUUCUCUUCAUCUCCGUCCUCACUCUCUCUCUCUCCUCUCGCCCCUUCUCUCACCUCCCUAUAAUAUAUAAUAGUAUAUUAUAUAGUAUAUAUUAUAUUUAUAUAUAAAAUUGAGGUUCUAUGCUUUUAAAAGUACCAAAGUUAUUGCGUGCUUUAUAGAUUUUUGGCCAUUGGAUUAAGGAUGAGCCUCGUGGUUAGGAUGACGUGGGCCUCGCUAGGGUUGAUGUGGGUGGUUGGCUUGAAAUAGUAUAAAUGUAAGCGAUUUGAUAAAUGAUCAAAGGAUAAAUCUAACGGUUAAAAAUUUUACAAGCGCAAAGUGUUGAGUGCUUUUAGCAAGCCACCGUAGCGCGAGUUCUAUAUAUUAUAUAUAUAUAGAGGAGAGAUGAGACGAGAGAGAGAGAGGAGAGAGAGAGAGUUGAAGGUAGAUACUAUCUGAUAGCAAACGAGGCUUUCAUUGCCAUCAUGUUGUUUUCGAUGAUAUGAGCUCCAAAUCGACGAUCGUACCGUUGAACAUGAUUCUAUUUACCACUGAGUGUUAGAAUCAAAUUCAAAUCUUUUUCGACAUCAUUUAUGCCCUAAUGAUUCAAAGGGUUUCAAAAUUUAUAAUUUUAAGGCAUAAUAUGAGACGUUUCUCGUUUACAGAUAAAAGAUAUCCCAAAUCAAAUUAAUUUUGUUAGAAAAUUCUUUAAAUUGUUUAAAAAAGUAUCUAUACUCUUAUCUUAACUACAGCUCCUUAUCAUCAUUUUUAAAAAUAUUUAUUUUCAGCCGGUCAUUUUUGUGUCACUCGAUGAUAAGAGAAGCAAUAUCGUAAAUAUAUAAAAUUUGAUUUCUAAAUAAUUUCAAGUGGUAUAGAUCAUAUUCAACGGCUGCCGCGAUUAUUGAUUGAAGACUCCAUCAUUGAAAACAAUAUGAAGUGGCAACAGACGCGUUUGCUACGCGGAUAGUAUUUAGCUCAACUAUAUAUAUUACUAUAUAUAUAUUAUAUAUAUUAUAUAUAAUAUUAUAUAUACUAUAAUAUAUAUAUAUAUAUAUUAUAGAAAAUUAGCUGGACAAUAACUAUUAUAGUGAAAAGCUUGCUUUUUGGCUAUCACAGUUUUUAACCUCUUGAUGAAAAUUCUAAAGUCAGGAUUGAUAUUAGUCGUUAGGUUGAGGUGGUCCCCACUGGGUUAUAGUAUUUAAAUCCAAUGGUUAGAAAUAAUGAAAAGAUUGCAUCCAAAGGCUUAAAACUGUAGAACAUGGAAUUUUGCCUACUAAUAGUGCCCAUUCCAGACACUCUUAAUAUAUUAUAUAUAUAUAUAUAUAUAUAUACUAUAUAUUAUUAUAUAUAUAUAUAUAUAUAUAGAGAGGACGAAGACGACGAGAUCAUGAGAGAUGAGCACAGCUCGACCGUCCAGGCCCGAUUCUUCCACGGCCCCAUCUGUUCUGUCUUCUGCUCAGCUUCGUUCCUCAUCCUCGGCUCCUAGCGCGAAGACCACUUCGGAUCUGCCGCUCGAUUGACAUAGAGCCGCGUCGUCCUCGGGGCCUCCUCGUCUGCGUAUCGGGGGCCCUACUUUUCGCCCUUCGAGACCGGAGAGAGAGAGAGAGAGAGAGAGAGUUUGACUGGGCUACUAUUGGUAGUAAACUGCUCGGUUUACUACCGAUUUGUUUUUGAUGAUAGAGCUUCCAAAUCGACGAUCGGCACCGUUGAACAUGAUCUAGACCAUUUAAAUUAUCUAGAAAUCAAAUUUCAUAAUUUUUUGGCAUCACUAACUGAACGAUCAAAGGGUCACAAAAUCUAUAAUUUUAAUAGCUGAUAUGGUGCGUUUGCUCGUUUCACGGUAUAGAAAAAUUCAAAUAAACUAAAUUUUUGUGAAAAAAUUCUUUAAACUAUUUAAAAUAAGAUCUAGACUCUAGAUCUCAAAUAUAAAAAUUGUAUCAUCACUUUUUGAAGGAUAUUCAUUUCCAGCCAUUAAUUUAUCUGUUCACUUGAUGGACAAGAGAACAAUAUCGAAAAUUAUUGAAAUUUGAUUUCUAGAUAAUUUAAAUGGUCUAGAUCAUGUUCAACAGUGCCGAUCGUCGAUUUAGAAGCUCUAUCAUCAAAAACAAAUCGGUAGUAAACCGAGCAGUUUACUACCGAUAGUAGCCCAGUCAAACUCUCUCUCUCUCUCUCUCUCUCUCUCUCUCUCUCUCUCUCUCUCUCUAUAUUUAUAUAUAUAUAUAUAUAUAGUCCGGCUAUGGUGCUUGUAAAAGCACAAAACACUUAGUGCUUGUAAAUUUUUUAUCAUUAGAUCUCUCCCUUUAAUCAUUUUUAUCCAUUGGAUUAUACUAUUCAACCAACCGCCCACUCAACCCUAGAGAUCUCACAUCAUCCUAACCGCACAUCCCUUAAUCCAAGGGCCGAAAAAUUAACAACCACCAAUGACUUAAUACUUUUGAAAGCAUAGGAGCUCAAUUCUAUAUAUAUAUAUAUAAAGAAUUAAGCUCCUAUACUUUUAAAAGUAACAAGUUAUUGGUGCUUGUAAAUUUUUAGCCAUUGGAUCAAGAGAUAUGCGGUUAGGAUGAUGUGAACCCCCUAGGGUUGAGUGGGUGGUUGAUCGAAUAGUAUAAUCUAAUGGUUGAAAAUGAUCUGAAAAAUAGAUCUAACGGUAAAAAACUUACAAGUACCAAAUGCUUGGUACUUUUACAAGCACCAUAGCUGGACUAUAUAUAUAUAUAUAUAUAUAUAUAGGCAGGAGAGAGCGGAGAGAGAGAGAGAGAGAGAUGAGAUGAGACAGACGAGAGAGAGAGAGAGCGAGCGGCCUAGGAAUGUUAUGGAAGCACGGAGGGCUCGCGUGCUUCCACUGUUUUCGAUAGUUUGGACUUUCGAAUCGACGAUCGGCUUCGAUUAGACCUGAUCUAGAGUAUUUGAAGUACCUAGAAAUAAUUUUUGCGAUUUUUCCGAUAUCAUUUGCCUAGUGAUCGAAGUGGCUCAAAAAAUAAAAAUCUUACAAAAUAGUGAUGAUAUGACAUUAAAUUUUUAGAUCAACAGUUAUUGAUCUUAGUUUUAUAUGGUAUAAAGAAUUUUUCUAUCAAAAUUUCAUGCGAUUUGGAUAUUUCUACACCGUUAAACUUGCAACCGGCUUACCACGGCCAUAAAAUUAUUGAUUUGAACCCUCGAUCACUAGGCACAAUGAUAUUGAAAAAUCACAAAAUUUAUUUUCUAGAUACUUCAAAUAUCUAGAUCAACUCUAACGGAGCCGAUCAUCAAUUCGAAAGUCGAACAUCGGGAAACAACUUAAAAGCACGGAGGGCUCGUGCUUCUAUAAACAUACCAGCCCAUAUUAUAAUAUAUAUAUAUAUAUAUAUAUAUAUAUAUAUAUAUAUAUAUUAUAUAUAUUAUAUAUAGAGGGUGGAAUACUAUAAUAGUAAAAACACUUUUUUUACUAUCAAGUUUUUAACCUUGGAUAAAAAUUGUACGGUCAGGAUGAUAUUAUGUCGCGUUAGAGUUAAUGGUCCCCCUAGGGUUGAGUGGUCUCUACGGGGUAUAGAUUUAUAUCCAAUGGUCAGAAAUAAUGAAAGAGUUGAUCCAAUGGCUAAAAACUGCUAGCAACAUAGAAUUUGUACUAAUGUAUCCCAGUUCACUCCUCUCUCUCUCUCCUCCGUCUCUCGUCUCUCUCUCUCUGAUAUAUAAUAAUAUAUAUAUAUAUAUAUAUAUAUUUUCUUAUGCUUUCCCAGCAUCAAUUUCGAGGAAAGGAACAUCACGAAGCAACUACCGGGCCGUUCACAGAACGACUGGCAGGUUGUACUAGAACGAGUGGGUGCCACUACCGCAUGCCAUGUGACUGCACCAAUGACGCGAUUAUUCCCGAUUGCGACGCCUCAUUUUGGUGGAUUCAGAUCUACAGCCCCCACCUCACUUGCAUUAUUGGCAUCUUAAUUAAUUUAUCUCCCCAGCUUAAAUCUAAGGAAAAAAAAAAAAGAAUCUCCCAAAAAAAAGAAUCUAAGAUAUAGUAUUCGUGAUGUCAAGUUUGAAGAAGCCUCGUUAUUUCACAUUUUCAACUAUAUUUAUUUAUUAAAAUUAUGAACUUAGCAUACCAUCUUUUUCUCUUAAAUAAAAAAUUAUUUUUUUGAUUCACAGUCUCUAAUUAGUUUCGAAUGCCUUUUAUUUGACUAAUUAUUGAAACAGUGAUUUUCGAUGCAUUGAUUUUGUUCGGAGAGUUGCUGUUAAGCGAAAACUUGUAAAAUAUUUGGCUGAUGAAUCUGAUAGAAAAAUAAAUUUUGCUUAAAAUAAUUUUGUCUAGACGUUUGAGAAACUCUUCUUUUGUUGUUUUCACAUAAUAAUUUUUUGUGUCGAAUUUUAUUUUAUUUUAUUUUUAAAAUUAUAACUUAAAGUCUAAAUUUAGAUCUAAAUUAAAAUUAGCAGGGAUAAUAAACAAGCCCUGAUGUUUAACAUAAGUAGCACCAAAUUAAUUAGCACACACCUCAUGGCGAUUCCUUCUUUGGUUUUUUUUUUUUUUUUUUUUUGAUUAGUCUAUUAUUGAGCUCUACGUUUUCUUAGGCCUGUUUGGUUUGUGUGUAAAUCUUUUUGCUAUAAUUUUUUUUAUUUUUAGAAUAACUUGUUAUUUUAGGAUAGUCACAAAUAAAAAUAAAACUAUGUUUGGUUUAUAAAACUGUUGUUCUCAGUAAUAACUAAAAAUUUUUUUUUUUUUUGAGAGAUAGGUAGCACGCUACCCGCUUCGUUUAUUUCAUUUAGAAAUAAACUUAGCUGGAAAUGUGAAUCAAUUAGGAUUCGAACUUGGGUCCUGGGUACCAACUAAAAUUAUGUUUGGUUAAUUUUGUAGAGGAGUAGAGAAAAGUAAAAAAUAUAUAUAAUUAUUAAAUUUUUAGAGCGCCAAGUUUGCCCUUCCCUUUUAUCUAAAAAAUAUGCUUAUACUUCGCAAAAAAAAGAUAUAAUUAAUAUAAUACUAUAUAAAGAAACAUUUGAACUAUAUAUACGUACCCAUCGUUUCCAUUAACCUAUUAUUAAUCAAGUAUCAUGCAUUUUUGAAGUUCUUUCCACACAAUUCAAAUCAUUCGUAUUUAAUUAGUAUUGGCUAAUACCAUCUCACUAAAUCUGGUUUCGUUAGAGGUUGCUUUUAUGUUGAAUGCGAGAUACCCAUUCUAAUUAAUAAAGCAUGUAUUUAGCAAUUAAUCUGUUAAAAUUCACUACUUUAUGUAUUUGAACUCUGAUGGAAUUACAAAUUUUCAUCAACUAUUAACGAUUUUUAGCCAAUAAAAUAAUUAACUAAAACAAAUUUGUAACUCAACUAAGAAAAAUAACUUACGUAAGCUUGAAGAGAAGGCCUUUAUUUUUAAUAUCCAAUUAAAAAUUUUUCACGUCACACACAAGCACAAGAACAAUUUUUUUGCAACUAUUAUUUUCAGAUAAAAUUAUCAUAUUAUUCUUUAUUAAACUCUUUACUAUCUUAUGUGGCGAAUAUAAUUAAUUUUAGAUAUAUCUAUAUGAUAUUGCUGCGCUAUAGAAAAGAUUUUUUAUAUUUUGUAGGUACUCUUUUGAGUUUCUCUAGUUGCAUUGCUUAGGUCUAAAGGUAACAAUUCCAAGAGUUCUUAAAUAUAUAGCAAGUUAUCCAACCAGCUACCCGCUUCGUUUAUUUUAUUAAUGUUAAAUAUAAAAAUGUUUAAACACCGUUAUCUAACAGCUUAAGCUUUUAGAGUACAACGGUUGUUUCACAUGGUAUCAGAGCAGGAGGUCCUGAGUUCGAGUCACGCCAGACUCCUAGCAUAUUAAUUUCCUCCCAUUUAAUUCAAGCCCACGUCAUGGGCUGAUUAAAAAGUUUCGAGCCCAGACGUGAGGGGGAGUGUUAAAUAUAAAAAUGUUUAAAUACCGUUAUCUAACAGCUUAAGCUUAAUAAACUUUAACUGAAAAUGUAAAUCAACUAGAAUUCGAACUUGGAAUCUCAGGUACCAAACAACAAACCCUUUACCACUUACGUACUCAAGAUCUUAUUCAAUGCCAUAAAUAUGCACAAUUAAACUUGACAAAUUUUCUACAACAAUAUAUAUACUCUAUAUUUAUAUAUUCUCACAAUAUGAUAAAUCACUUUAAUCUAUAGUUCAUGAAACGUCAAAAUUAAUUGUUAAGAUUUCAUAAUAGUCAAAAAUGUAUAUCUUCGGCUACACAUAAUAUCACCAUGCCAGUUCGAUAAGUUGCUCCCACAUCCAAAUUAAUCCUUAUGCUCUAUAUGGGAAGUAACAAUUAAGUUACUUAGCAUUUCGAGUGUGUUAUUUUCCAAUGCACAAUAAAUGGUAUAUAUUUCAAGCUUAAAAGGCCACAAGUGUAGCUAUCCAAUGUUACACAUAAUCUCCUCUCUUCUAAAGAAGAUGCCAAUUGAAGCCGCAGCAAAUUAAAGGAUAAGAAUGAGUAGAAACUAUAGAAAGAAGAAGACCACACGCCACAAAGUGUUUGAAUGCAACAAACUUAUACAAUAUAAAAACAUGUGAUGUUACGCAUAAAAACUUUAUGUUGAAUGCGACAGCCGAUAACUAGCUAGCUAUUUUCAUGUAAGUCUAAACUCAAAUGAAAGAUGCACUAAAGGCUUAAUUUGAGUAUAUAAUUUGUCACUGGUAGCAAAAGGAUAGAUUUGUAAGCCUUAUUAUUAGUAAUAUUCAUUGCUUGUAACAAAAGGGUGAAAUGUAUGAAUGCCUUUGACGAUUCCUAUGCUAUCCCCAUAAUGGACUUUUGUUUCUGAUCAUUAAAAGAAAUUAGACUUUUAAGCAAAAUGACAAGCUAAAUAAGCAAAUUAUUAUGAUAGAUCCAUAAAACAAAAAAUAAUUAGAUAUUUUUCUAUGUUAGGAGAUAUAAAUAUUUUUAUGAAAAGUAUAUAUAGCAAGUAGGAACUAUUGGGAGGAUAGCUAGGACAAGUACUAUAUAUCCAUAAAUUUUACCUUUAGCUAAGAUAGCAAGUUAAUUGUGACAUGAAAAAUGAAACGGAUCGCGUCCUAACAAUAUUUCGUCACAUAAUUUAUCAAAACUUACUAGCUUUCAAUUAGAUGUAUCAAUUAAAUCUUUUCUUUCUUCUUUUUUAGUGUGAAGUAAGAGGCCUAGUGCCCUUUGCAUCUCUCUCUCUCUCUCUCUCUCUCUCUCUCUCUCUCUUUAGAGUCAAGCAAACCUAUUUUCACAAGUUAAUGUCACAUAGUGCUUCCUCAAAAUUGGCCAAUCCUACCAAACAACAUUAAUGCAAGGGAUAAGAUUCCCAAUCCUUUUCCCAAAGUCCUGGGUCAGGUAUAGUGUGAUAGAUCAACAAGAUUUGGCAUGUAGUGAAUUCACAAAUUAAUUGAGAGGUGCCACAAAGGUGCAUGCAAUUUGCCCCCAUAACUUUCCUUUUGUCCUGAGACUUGUGGCACUGAACUACGUACUGAGACAUGUGGGACUCAACUAUUGAUCACUGGUGAUCAGUAACGAUCGAUUUGGUUUGAUGCUCUUCCAGUGCAAAGGUGUAAAAAUAAUAAUAAUAACAAAAGGAAAAAAAAUGAUUACUUACUAGUUUAAUUAUGUAACUAUUGGAGCUAGAAAUGGAAAAGAAAGGUUAAAGUUACAUGUAAAUUAAAUCAAGUAAUUACAGGAGCUAAUUCUUUGGUGUAACAUGACAGCAAAAAUGAACGAAAAUAAUAAAUGUUUGGAAAACAUAUUCAGAGCUAGGCAACAUUUUAUAUAUAUAUAUAUAUAUAUAGAGUUGAACACAGAUGUAGAAAUAGCUUGUUAGCAUAGCAUUACUCAUUGUGAGACAUUAAUUGUAUGUUUGAUUGAUCGGUAAGCUAUCGCACGAUUUGUCGUUUUUAGGGCCCAGAGUUAAUGAACGGAUUUAUAGAUAAUUUUGACUCGGAUCCAAAAAGCUAACGAGUUUGCAUCAAUGCAUAGAACAUAUAAUAAUAUCGGAUCCAUACUAAGCUAGUAAAAUUUCUAUUCAAAUAAAGUAAUAAUUACGUACAUGCAUUUAGGACACGUGCAAUAGUUUCAUAGGAUGUUUUGGUAUACACAAGUCUAAGAUUUGCCUUAACAUAAUUCUUUUCCUUCACUUUUCUUCCUUUUUGUCAAAGUAUGGGAUAAAAGUAUAUUAUUAUUAACGUGGGCCCUAAUAAGAGUUUAUUUAUUAAUAAUAAAAAAAAAUGUUCAAAUAAAUAAAGUGAAAGAGACAAUUAGGUGACCAAGGUUUCAACCAUUUGUUUUAACUUCUUGUUAAUUAAUAAGAUAAUGACAUCACAAGUAGCUAAGUUGUUAUGUCUCUCUCAAGCACACCUCGAUCAUUCGUGUGUUUUCAAAUAGUGGAAAAGGAAAUUAAUCAACUCCGAUAAUCAGAUAAAUAAUUUGAGUCUGAUUCAUUUUAUUAGGUUAGGAUCAAACCUAAUAAAAAUAUAAAAAUAUAAAAAUAUUUAAACAUCGUUUUUCAUUAACUUAAAACUUUUAGAAAAUGACGAUUGUUUUAUAUUAGUUAACAAAUACUUUACUAUUUACAUGAAGGAUUGAAAUAUACACUGCCAAUUAUGCUUUGGGGUUUCGUUGUGGCAUACUAUAUAUCCCAUGUAUUGACACUGAAUUUUUGUGAGAUAAUUCACUUUUAUAAUAUUUUCUUUCAUUCUUUGAGAAGUAAUACUGCAGCAAUUUUACUCUAUUACAUCAAUUUAAUUGCCUAGAAAUUAAUGAUUGCAAAAUAAAUUUUAUUACAAAAAUAUGUGCCAUUGUGAUAAUGCAAACCAUAUUGUUUANAUAUAUCACAAUAUUUAUACCAACCAUGCAAUGAUUCUUUUUUAUUGUAAAAAAUUAUUAUUGUUGCUACAGUAUUUAUUAUUGAGAAAGAAUUAAUUUCUAGCAGUGUUGGUGGAAAAGAAUUACCGGAACAUGACAUGUAUUUAGCAUUGAUUUUGUAUAACUUAACUAUUUUCUAGGUAUCGAUAAUAUCAGAAAUAUAAAAAAAAAAAUUUAUGUAAAUAUCUGUUUUAUUUUCUUUUCCGUCAUGAUUUUCAAAAAAUCUAGCCAUGAAAAUUUGAACUUACCAAUCAAAUAAUAUAAAACUAAAAAGAAUAACAAGAAACAUUUUGGUUUGAACUUGUGUUAAAUAUAAAACUAUAUGAACAUGUUCUCUAAUAGUUUAAAUUUUUAGAGUAUAUAUAACUAUUGUUUUACAUGUAAAAAUUAUUUCUACUUCAACUUGUUUAUUAAGAUGCAACUAUUUCCACAGUAAAUAGUUUUUUUUUUUUUCCUGUGAAACACAAUAAAUAGGCUACUGACACUACACAAUUAAGAGUACCUGAUCAGCUUCGAAUUAAUUAAUGCCAUAAUAAUUCAACUUGAUCCCAAAUAUUAAUGGGGUGCAAAUCCCAACCCUUAUUAUGUUGAGGAACUCAUAUUUUGGAUAUAUAUUGCUAUUCUGCACCCAAUAAAAAUAGCAGAGUUAGAAAAAUUAAUUUGGAGGAGAAUUGAGAGAAAUUGGGACUGACAUGUUAACCCCAACCCUUUUUUUUUUAUUUGAGAAAUAGGUAGCACGUUACCGCUUCGUUUAUUUUAUUUAAAAAUAAACUUAACUGGAGAUGUGAAUCAAUUAGGAUUCGAACUUAGGAUCACAAAUACCAACCACAAAAUCUUUUGCCAUUUGCUCUAGGGACGGUCAGUCGUGAAUCCCAACCCUCCCAUUCAACAAUGAGAAAAUACUGCAUGUUGUCAUGUUGCUGGUCUACUAAUAUUUUGCUUAUGCUUAACCUAUUUUUUAAUAAUAAUAUUAUAAAAUUAAAAUCUAAUCUAAUAAAUAUGAUCUAAACUACAUAAAAAAGUUAUGUAUAAAAGAUUAUAAAAUUUAAAAUUUUAUAACAUGGUUAUUGGCAAUUCCACAAGCUUUCCAUCAACAUUUAACCUUCGAGCGCACGACCACCCCUAACGCAAGUGGUAAAAGAUUUGAUGGUUGCUAUCCGAGGUCCCAAGUUCGAAUCCUAAUUGAUUCACUUUUCCAGCUAAUUAUUUAUUUCUAAAUAAACGAAGUGACUUGCAUACUACUUUUCUCUCAAAAAAAAAAUCCUUUUGUUACAUGGCACUUGGGACUUUCAAUACAAGAAAAAGCCCAACCGGCCGUCCCUAGAGUAAGUGGUAAAGGACUUGGUGGUUGGUAUCCGAGACCCAGGUUCAAAUUCUAGUUGAUUCACAUUUCCAGCUAAAUUUAUUUCUAAAUGAAAUAAACGAAGCAGCGGGUAGCGUGCUACUUAUCUCUCAAAAAAAAAAAAAGAAAAGAAAAAGCCCUUGUAAAGGGACUUAAUGGCAUCUCGUACACAACAUGCAAUCCGAUGCAAAUGGGUCUUAUAAAUAAAACAAAUAACCGAUGGUUGGUUCAGUUGAAAAGUACAAGGCUCGUCUCGUUGCAAAAGAUUUUGACCAAAAAGGAGUUAGAUUUUGUCAACAAAUAGCUUAUUAUUGGGCUUAAAAGAAUAAUUUAAAGUGUAAAAGGUUGAUGUUCAACCUAUUCUUGGGAUUUAACAGUGGGUUAUCAUGCACUUUGUUAACAAGAGGAUAAUUUUGAAUAUAUAUAAAACAAUUAAAAUAUGGCUUUUUAACGGGCUUAAGCUUUUGGCGCAAAUGGUUAUUUUUAAGCUUUUGGCAUUAAUGGUUAUUUUAUAUAGGACUAGAUUAAGAGGCCAAAUCCAACCAAACUAAGCAUUUUUAAAACUGAAGCUUUUAAAGUAAGUUUAUCUUCGCAGAUAAAGGCCAUCUAUUUUCUUGUAUAUACCACUUAAUUUAUUAUCUGUCCAAAUAUUAUUCAGAUUAAUUUCCUUUUCCAUAAUAAUCUGAAAAAGGUUUAGUUUGUGUUCGAGUUGUAUACUGCAUGCCAUCUUUGAGGAAACUUGCUUGCCUGAUGAGAGUUUUAAUGCUACACUCAAUAUAUAGAGCAGGUCUUGUGUGUUAUUAGGAGUACGAAAGCCUAUGUGUUCCUAAGCUAUUUUCGAUGAUGGAGCUUUCGAAUCGACGAUCAACUCCGUUAGACUUGAUCUAACGUAUUUGAAUUAUCUACAAAAUAAAUUUUGCAAUUAUUCGAUAUUAUUUACAUAGCGAUUAAAAGUAUUCAAAAUCAACGGCUGAAAAUAAAACUUUGAAAAAAGACAGUGAUAUAACACUAAAAUUUUCUAUCAGAAAUAUUGAUCUUACAAUAAAUAUCCAAAAAAUAUUAUCAAAAUUUUAUCUGAUUUGAAUACUUCUACACCAUUAAAUUUGUAAACGAUAUACAUCAAUCAUUAAAAUUUAUUAAUUUUUAAAACAUUUCGAUAUAUCGUUAGGUAAAUGAUAUCGAAAAAUCGCAAAAUUUAUUUUCUAGAUACUUUAAAUAUAUUAGAUCAAGUAUAAUUAGGGGUGUAAACGAGCCGAACACGAGCGAGCUGGGGUCGGCUCGUUAAAGUAUCGAGUCGAAAAAUUCAGCUCGUCUUUGGCUCGUUUAUUAACGAGCUGAACACGAGCUGGCUCACGAGCUAGCCAACGAAUAAUAAAUUAAAAAUGAUUAGAUUAAAUAUAUAUAAAAAAUAAAUUUAUCAAAUCUUAUUCAUUAGACUUUGAUCUAAUAGUUGA